rnacentral:rRNA from 1 species
CAGUCGCCGCGGGAAUACGAAGGGGGCUAGCGUUGCUCGGAAUGACUGGGCGUAAAGGGCGCGUAGGCGGAUGGCACAGUCAGAUGUGAAAUUCCCGGGCUUAACCCGGGGGCUGCAUUUGAUACGCGUUGUCUAGAGUGAGGAAGAGGGUCGUGGAAUUCCCAGUGUAGAGGUGAAAUUCGUAGAUAUUGGGAAGAACACCGGUGGCGAAGGCGGCGACCUGGUCCUUUACUGACGCUGAGGCGCGAAAGCGUGGGGAGCAAACAGGAUUAGAGACCCCGGUAGUCCCUGUCUCUUAUAC